AUGCAAAUUCGAAAUGAAAGCCCGGAAACCCCGGAACUAGAACUGGUAUCUCUUCAACUACCUGUGAAAACUGAUGUGAUGAAAAGGGGAAUUUGAAGGAGCCAUUCCAGAAGACAGGGCGAAAACUGAAGUGCAAUCAGGGCCAAGAAAAACAGAAAUAGCAGGACCUGGAGUUGCAUAGGUUGAAUAGUUGAAUAGGCUGCUCUCCUCAGCUGGCAGGAAACCUGGCAGCCUCCUGGUGCCCAAGGACUGAAAACCUUAGAAGCACCUGGAGUUGGCAGCCUUGGCAUGGUCAGGUUGGCACCUCUGGAGGUGCCCAGGCUUCCCUGGCAGCAUUGUGAGCAGUGGAUGGUGUUGAAGGGCAGCCAGAGGAGGAAUGGAACACAUGCUCCUUGCUAACCACACGGACAAGGCCACGUUCACAGGUACACAAAGGACGGGGGUGGAAGGCCACCUUCGAUGGGUGCAUCCUCCACGAUGACCUGCUAACAAAGGUGCAUGGAUUUCAGAGUCUGAUUGGCCUACAACAGCAUUUGGCUUGUGGAGACAGUGGUUCCCUGAUGAAAAACUGCCAUGAUGUAAGGAAGAGCCUGUCAGAGCGAGGCUGGGGUGCUGCGUGUUGGGGAGGUGGAGGUGUGGCUUCCCGGGAGAAGCUCCACCCGCUGGCUGAGUCUGGCACGUGAACCAGUCUGUGAGGGGAUGGAUGUGGGUGUAAUGGGGGCAAUUACAGUAGGAAGGAGCCCACGUGGAGCCUGCAUUCUCUGGGACAGGCUAAGGCCCAGAUCCUACCUUCCCAGGUGGCUGGAUGGGUCGUAGAUGUACGAACCGGUCCCCUCAUUUUCUGAUUGCCCUGUGCUUAACGUUUCUGUACCUUUACUGAGGCUCUUUCCUCCAACUCCAGUGCCCAGAACCCCCUUCUCCUGAACAUGAAUGCCUGUCCAUGGAAGUUCGAGUCUCUGUCUCUCACCCAGGCUGGAGUGCAGUGAUGCAAUCUCAACUCACUGCAACCUCUGCCUC
rnacentral:lncRNA from 1 species